AUGAAGCUAAAGGAAAAGAAAGACUUCGAUCUCGUUAUUCAGAGCAGUUUAUUGGAACAUAAGUACAUCGUUUUAUUCCAAAACCAGUGUGAAUCUGAUCAAUUUUUUGAGGAAGCAAAAGAGUUGGGGAAUAUGGUGCAUGAGGUGAUACUGAAACCUGUUUAUCUGCAGCACGAAGAUAUCACAUCUGAGGAGAUGAAGCUAAAGGAAAAGAAAGACUUCGAUCUCGUUAUUCAGAGCAGUUUAUUGGAACAUAAGUACAUCGUUUUAUUCCAAAACCAGUGUGAAUCUGAUCAAUUUUUUGAGGAAGCAAAAGAGUUGGGGAAUAUGGUGCAUGAGGUGAUACUGAAACCUGUUUAUCUGCAGCACGAAGAUAUCACAUCUGAGGUGAGUUAA
rnacentral:rRNA from 1 species